UAAAAACAGUCCAGCCUGAUCCUGAUUCUGCACACCCAAGUCACAAGUCCAGGCAGAAGACUUCCAAAUCAAGGGAUGGCCGCAGACUUCUCCAACAGAUAAGCUGCGCAGACACGGCUUCUGCUACUUAACGUCCUCUCGGUAGCUCUCCACUGUGAUUUGCAAGGCUCGUAUUAGCCUGUCAGAAGGGAAGGAUUAACACGUAUUUUGAUUUCUGUUGAAAACACGUUGUUUCAGAAAUAAAGUUGGCAUGGCAGGCAUCUUGGUUGAUUUAAUCUCUGACACAGGAAGUUUAUUUAUAGCAUCACAGCCUUCUGAAUGUUUAAAAACUCAAGCAUUAUAAGCCUGCUGUGCUUUUCCUGCGAAGUAUGGAACGGCACUAAAUGAAUAAUGCCACCAGGGCCAGCAGCAGAGCCAGGAUCCAGAAUCAAACACGGCUUUCAUCUGCUCCUGUCUUUAUUUUGUGCCUCAUGGAGUCUAGAUUUUUUUUCUCCAAACUGAAUAACUUCUUUCAAGAAAUGGCACCACCAUUCACCAAGUUGCUCAGACCAAAAAAGAAGGAGUCAACCUUAGUUCCUUGAACCCCAAAGCCUCAUCAAUGAAUCUAUCUGCAAGCAGAUCACAUCAGCCCCGCUAAAGCUGACUGUUUCUCACCACCCCUGGAGAUACUCCCUGAUGUGAUUUGGGUGUGCCCCCACCCACAUCUCAUCUUGAAUCGUAGCUCCCAUAAUCCCCACAUGUCGUGGGAGGGAUGGUAAUUGAAUCAUGGGGUUAGGUCUUUCCCCUGUUGUUCUCAUGAUAGUGAAUAAGUCUCAUGAGAUCUGAUGUUUUUAUAAAGGGCAGUUCCCCUGCACACGCUCUAUUCUCUGCCAUCAUGUAAGAUGUGCCUUUGCUCCUCUUUUGCCUUCUGCCAUGAUUGUGAGACCUCCCCAGC
rnacentral:lncRNA from 1 species